rnacentral:tRNA from 2 species
GGCCGUGUGGCCUAAUGGAUAAGGCAUCAGACUUCGGAUCUGAGGAUUGCAGGUUCGAGUCCUGUCACGGUCG